GCGUCGGGGGGGACCAUGACGCCGGCGGCGGUGGCGACGCCGAAGCGGAACAGCGUCAGCGGCGGUGCCUCGUUCCAGUCGAUGUUCGACGCGC
rnacentral:tRNA from 1 species